AUACUUACCUGGCAGGGAAGAUACCAUGAUCAUGAAGGUGGUUUUCCCAAGGCAAGGCUUAUCCAUUUCACGCAACAAAAAUUGACGGGGCACCCGCCGUGUGCUGGGCCCUGCAGGAAGGC
ensembl:snRNA U1 U1 spliceosomal RNA